rnacentral:rRNA from 1 species
AUUGAACGCUGGCGGCAUGCCUUACACAUGCAAGUCGAACGGUAACAGGUUAAGCUGACGAGUGGCGAACGGGUGAGUAAUGUAUCGGAACGUGCCCAGUCGUGGGGGAUAACUGCUCGAAAGAGCAGCUAAUACCGCAUACGACCUGAGGGUGAAAGCGGGGGAUCGCAAGACCUCGCGCGAUUGGAGCGGCCGAUAUCAGAUUAGGUAGUGGGUGGGGUAAAGGCCUACCAAGCCUACGAUGUGUAGCUGGUCUGAGAGGACGACCAGCCACACUGGGACUGAGACACGGCCCAGACUCCUACGGGAGGCAGCAGUGGGGAAUUUUGGACAAUGGACGCAAGUCUGAUCCAGCCAUGCCGCGUGCGGGAAGAAGGCCUUCGGGUUGUAAACCGCUUUUGUCAGGGAAGAAAAGGUUCUGGUUAAUACCCGGGACUCAUGACGGUACCUGAAGAAUAAGCACCGGCUAACUACGUGCCAGCCGCCGCCGUAACAC